UCGAAGCGUGUCGUGGUAUUUCGCGUAUUGUAAUUUCAACACGAGCGGGGUCAAAUCCUUUGCAGACGACUUAGCUGUGCGAAACGGUCCUGUAAGCAGUAGAGUAGCCUUGUUGUUACGAUCUGCUGAGGGUAAGCCGUCCUUCGCCUCGAUUU
rnacentral:rRNA from 1 species